GCCUUCGUGGUGUAGUGUGAAAACGCUCGGCGCGUAUUCGAGAGGUUCGUGGUUCGAAUCCCGGCAAGGGCA
rnacentral:tRNA from 1 species